rnacentral:rRNA from 2 species
GAAAGAAAUUAAGUGAAUUAGUGGCGAACGGGUGAGUAACACGUGAGUAACCUGCCUUACACAAGGGGAUAGCCUUUGGAAACGAAGAAUAAUACCCUAUAAAGUCAACCAAUCGCAUGAUAAGGUAGACCAAAGAUUUAUCGGUGUAAGAUGGACUUGCGCCUGAUUAGCUAGUUGGUGAGAUAAAAGCCCACCAAGGCAACGAUCAGUAGCCGGCUUGAGAGAGUGUACGGCCACAUUGGGACUGAGACACGGCCCAAACUCCUACGGGAGGCAGCAGUGGGGAAUUUUGCACAAUGGGGGAAACCCUGAUGCAGCGACGCCGCGUGAUUUAGAAGGCCUUCGGGUUGUAAAAAUCUUUUUUAUGGGAUGAAAAUGACAGUACCAUAAGAAUAAGGUCCGGCUAAAUACGUGCCAGCAGCCGCGGUAAUACGUAUGGACCGAGCGUUGUCCGGAAUCAUUGGGCGUAAAGGGUACGUAGGCGGCCUAGUAAGUUAGAAGUGAAAUAAUAUAGCUCAACUAUAUAAAGCUUUUAAAACUGCUAAGCUUGAGAGAUGAAAGGGAAAGUGGAAUUCCUAGUGUAGCGGUGAAAUGCGCAGAUAUUAGGAAGAAUACCAGUGGCGAAGGCGACUUUCUGGUCAUCAUCUGACGCUGAGGUACGAAAGCGUGGGUAGCAAA